UACGUAGGGUGCGAGCGUUGUCCGGAAUUAUUGGGCGUAAAGAGCUCGUAGGCGGCCUGUCGCGUCGGAUGUGAAAGCCCGGGGCUUAACCCCGGGUCUGCAUUCGAUACGGGCAGGCUAGAGUUCGGUAGGGGAGAUCGGAAUUCCUGGUGUAGCGGUGAAAUGCGCAGAUAUCAGGAGGAACACCGGUGGCGAAGGCGGUUCUCUGGGCAUGUCCUGACGCUGAGGAGCGAAAGUGUGGGGAGCGAACAGG
rnacentral:rRNA from 1 species